UUGCGCUUUGCUGGAGCCGCAAUGCUGUCCAUGUUUGCUGGAGCACAGUGUGUUCACCAGUACUACAAGCCCCUUUCUGUGAGUUGGUGAUUUGGAUGUGUAUGUGCAAGAAGAAAAACAAUCGCAAGUGUCACCUGUGCUCGGCCAGCAGCGGGUUCACAUCACAGAAUGAAAGCAGGAACUGACGUGACAGCAUGAAGUCUCUAGGUGUAUUGGAUGUUCUGAAAAUAAACUAGCUACAUGGUCAUGUUUCCA